CCAGGCCUGACUCUAUCCACUUAGCUACCCAGCUAAGUGAUGUUUUAAUGAUGUUUUAAAAGAAUUAGCAUGCUGGGUUGAUCUCCAGUGAAGAAGCUAUGGAAAGACAUGGCCAGCAAUCCUAUAAAGAUGAGAAGGUAUGGACAGGUUGCAAUCUAAGCUAGUGAAGGAAGUACUCCCAUCAGUGUGUUCUCAAAUUUAUUUCAAUAGUAAUGGAGAAGCACGGAUGACUGAGGAGAAAUAUUGCUGGAUUUAAAGACAGAGGGCCUGGGUUCACACACCAGCUUUGCCACUUUCUACCUAGGUGACCUUGGCAAGGGACUUAGCUCUCUGGUCCAGUUCCCUCAUCUAUGAACUGAGGAGGUUAAACUGAAGCAAUUCUAAGGUGGCUUCCAAUUCUUAAUUUAGAUCAUGACAAUCCAGAUCUCCAUCCUCCCCCAAAAUGGGUUUCCUGCCUGUCUUCCUCCUUUACAUUAUUUGUUGAAUCUUGGUAAAGAUGUCAACUACGCACUGUGUGAGUAACUCUGGAUUAGUCAUUGUGGGGUUUUAAGAAAACUAGACCUAUAAAAGGCAAAGCUUAAAGGCAGGUAAAUUAGGAGUGAUUAUUUACAUUACAAACGAAGUUAAUAUAUGGAAAAAAUCCAAGCCAGGGAUGCCAUGGGGCUAUUAAAAUUGGUGGGAGUUAAAAAAGAAAAAAAGAUUCUAUUCUACCUCAUUUCUCCUGCCUUCUCUCUUCUCAUUGUGUCCUAGGUCAAACCCUGAUCACUUCUAAAGGCCCAGAAAAAAAAAAGAACAAGAAAGGAAGAAGACAAUGUACUCAAAAUCACCGAGUGGAAGAGAACACAUCGCUGAGCCUUUUAAGAAGUGAUUAUUCUUAGGUGAUAAGUGCCCUGAAUUCUUUUUGGAGGAAGAAAAAAAAUACACAAUUGAAGCAGCAAUUUGUAUUCUUUCCUUUUAGAAAGGUAGAAACAGGCUUGAAUCUGCAAGGAAGCUGAGUCAUCAGAAUCCAGUGGCAAGACAAAAAUGAGACCACCUGGUGAUGACCUCUGAGACAGUGCAUGACUUUGGCACCUUUGAUGUCUGACCAAGCUCUAAGCACUCCACAGCACCUGCUUCAGCCACCUUCAUGGCCUCUGGAAUGAAUUGUUCUUAUAUUCCUAUUCUAUUGGGGGAAGUCUUCACAUGCUUGGGGUAGCCAUCCUCUACCUCACUCAUGAGUUUAAGGACUUUGGUUAUCCUCAACCUGGUCUAGCCCAUCUGCCAAGACACAUAGAGGUGUUCAAGGAGGGCUAGCAUCUCUGCUGUGAGGAUUUGCCAAGCUCUUUUCAGGGCUUCUCUUCUACCUUUGGUGUCUACCUUUCACCCAGUUCUCACCUGUGGCUCCAAGAAGCAAAGAGCAUGAGCAGUGGCCAUCCCCCAAAAAAGGUGGACCAUGGAUCAUUCCAGAGCUAACUUUGGAGCAGAGCUCCCUUAAAUGCAGGAAGAGACAGGACAAGUAUCUCUGGCCCUGAAGUUUUAGGAGGCCUGCAGAGCUGCCUCCUCAUUUCUUUUGGCUUCCUCUUCCAGAUGGGAUUUGGCACAAUCCUGACUAGCAGUGGGGAAGAGUCCUCCCUCCACCUUCUGGAUUCAACAACUAAUUCAAUGAAGUAAACUCCUGUAAGCCAACAAUGUGUAAGGUCCUGGAGACAGAAAGGUAGACCCAGUAUAAACCUUGUUACCUUUAAGGAAAUGGUGCAGAGAGGUCAGGAAGACCUGAGUUCAAAUUUUGCCUUAAUUGCUUUAUGACCCUGAGCCUUAGUUUCCUCAUCUGAAAAACAGAAAUGAUAGGACUGUAAGGUUCAGAUUAGGUAAUAUAUGUAUAUAGAUGUCAAAGCAUACAAUCCAAUAAGGAGAAAAAGAUAUUUAGACAAAUAAGCCAGAUUCAAGGAAGCUUCAUUACAAAAGAUGGGUUCAGGGAAAGUACUCUGGAAAAUCUGAGGAAGAAAACAUCAUUUUCACUUAUGCCCUCAGGGAAGAUUCCUUGGAGAGGUGGAUACCACAUUGGGCCUAAAAUGUCAACAGUUGGGAAGAAUUCCAUGUGAACUAGAACAACCUCCAGGAAUUGAUGCAGAGUGAAAGGAGCAGAACCAGGAGAACAUUAUAAGCAGAGACUGAUACACUGUGGCACAAUAGAAUGUAACUGAUUUCUCUACUAGCAGCAACACAAUGAUCCAGGACAUUUCUGAGGGAUUUAUGAGAAAGAACACGAUCCACAUUCAGAGGAAAAACUGUGGGAGUAGAAACAAAGAAAAACAACUGCUUGAUCACAUGGUUUGAUGGAGAUAUGAUUGGGGAUAUAUAGACUCUAAAUGAUCAUCUUAGUGCAAAUAUCAAUAAUAUGGAAAUAGGUCUUGAUCAAUGAAAUGAUACAUGUAAAACCCAGUGGAAUUUCUCAUUGGCUACAGGAAUGGGGUGGGAGGAAGGGAGAGAAAGAACAUGAAUUAUGUAACCGUGAAAAAAUUUCUUAAUUAACCAAUUAAGUAAAAUUUUAAAAAUAAAGUAAAAUUUCAGCAGUUGGAAAUCAGGAAAGGGGAAAUCUUAUUUCCCAUUUCCCAUUCAUGAGGAAUGGUGUCAAUGUCAUGAAAACAGGAAAAGAUGACAAGAAUAGGGAACAGAAUAAAGCUAAUAUGUAAAUUUGUUUUGCAUAACUUUACAUGUAUAAUUGGUAUCAAAUUGCCCACCUUCUCAAAGAGGUGAGUGGAACAGAAGAGUGGGAGAGAAUUUGGAAUUCAAAAAAAUUUUAAAUUAUUAAAUCUUUCAAAGUGAAAUUGGGAAAUAUUUAAUAAAAAUAAAUAAAAAGAGUUUAAACAAAA